CACCAACGAAAUCCCUAGAUCUCUCCUCCUGUUGCUCCCCACGCACGCCGGCGCCCACGCCUCCGACCGCCGCCCCGCCCCGCCCCGCCCGGGGCUACUGCCGGUCUAUCCCACCGCUGCCCCAUGCCACCCUGCCUCUGUAGCACCGCCCCGCACCGCCCUGUCCCUACAGCGCAGCCCAACUCCGUCCUGCCUCUCUCCGCCGCCGGCUCCACACCCUCGUGCUCUCUCUCCGGUUGGCCGCCUCUUUCCAACAUCCCUGACCUGACCUCCCCAUCUCCAUCGUCUAGCUCACGAAGACACGCAUCGGCAGAUUUGGAUGGGGGCAGCUUGCGCCUGGGCAAGGGCAUCCCUCUCUGUCUUUGGUUGGGCAGGGGCAACGAAGCGGCUGAGUGAAUCUUCUUUGUAGCACCAAUGGAUGCGUUUCUAGUGUUUGUGCUGCUCCAGCUAAGCACAUUUCUGGGCUGAGUUCACGACAAUGUUAAACAGAGGACAACUGUUUGUAACAUUGAGCCGACGAAGAGAAGUAGCAGAAUAUUUGCGACACCACCUUAGUGCAUAAGGAGGAAAAAAGGCAAGCGCAAGAGUCACAAACAAUAUAUAGCCUUCUAGAUCUUCUCGUGAGGUUGUUGUCAAUGUUAUGAUCACAAGGGAUGCAACGCUGCCUUAUGAAUAUGAUGGUUUACAAUUUGUCGCCGAUGUUGUCACAAGGUCCAUUGCAUGACCAUCUAGCAAGAUGAAACCCUACAAGCCAAGGGCAUCUGCCUCCGUGUUAAUCUUGCCUGAGAUCUCUGAUGGUGGUGGAAAGACAACAUUUGUUUAUUUCAUUAUCGAUAAGAAAACGUGAGAACAUAUCUUUUCUUCAUCAUCAUUGUCAAAAGGCCGCUAGUACUUAGCUUCCUGUAGUUAUAACUAGACGAGUGUAGCAGUCAACAUAGGUAUUUCCCCUCAACAUAUGAUAUGGACCUAUGGUAUUUCCCCUCUAUAGGGACAUCGAUAUGUGAGAUUGACAAGGAAAAGAACACUUGAGGUAUUAUUCAUUUCAAUACCUUGAGCAUUUUGUAUUUAGUAAGGUGUCACUUGAUAGUGUUUAUUUCAGUAAGGUGCUAUGUUUGCCUUUUAAAGUUAGUCCCCGUCAAUACUUUCUCCUUUUCGGUUUGGACCAUGUCAGCCUGAAGAGAUGUUCUUUUUUUAUGAUCACUACGAAUAAAAGUGUGCAGAAUGAAUUCAGUUUGCAACUAGCCAUAUAACACAUGUGUUUGCUUCAGGUUGUGCAUUUUAGUCCAUUGUAGGAAUAAUUUCAUUGAGAACUCGCAACGGCAGGUUGAAGAACAUUUUGGAGCACAAGUAGGGGUAAGUUAUAGAGUGUAGAGGAGCAACGCUGCGUGCUUGGAGAUCACUCAUGGUUCGGAUUGUUUCCUAUUCAGAUUGAGGAACGUGUACUCGGCCCACCCUCAUUCCCAAUGAUUAGAUAGUUUGCAUUUAUAUGCAAAUUGUGUGAAUAAAUUUAUGUAUACGAAGGUAAAAAUGGGAUACUAAUAUUCAUUAUUGCACGGUUGUAAAUCUUUGAGACCUUGUAUUUGAUAUCUCCC